rnacentral:miRNA from 1 species
AGUUUUUGCUGUUUCUUAUC